rnacentral:other from 1 species
AAUAUCCUGCCUUGUUCGAUUUGUUGCAGCUUUAUAUAAUCCUACUAAUCAAUCAUCGGGAGUCCGGAUGGUCCCGCAGGGGAUUGCAGACCUCCCGCCUCUGGCGGAAGAAGGGAGCGUGAAACUGCGGGCAGGGCACCCACCUGCCAAAGCGGUAGGUUUGAUUGGCUGCAGACGGCAAGGCGGGGAUCU